rnacentral:ncRNA from 1 species
UUUCUAGGACCGCCGUAAUGAUUAAUAGGGACAGUCGGGGGCAUCAGUAUUCAAUUGUCAGAGGUGAAAUUCUUGGAUUUAUUGAAGACUAACUACUGCGAAAGCAUUUGCCAAGGAUGUUUUCAUUAAUCAGGAACGAAAGUUAGGGGAUCGAAGACGAUCAGAUACCGUCGUAGUCUUAACCAUAAACUAUGCCGACUAGGGAUCGGACGGUGUUAUUUUUUGACCCGUUCGGCACCUUACGAGAAAUCAAAGUGCUUGGGCUCCAGGGGGAGUAUGGUCGCAAGGCUGAAACUUAAAGAAAUUGACGGAAGGGCACCACCAGGGGUGGAGCCUGCGGCUUAAUUUGACUCAACACGGGGAAACUCACCAGGUCCAGACACAAUGAGGAUUGACAGAUUGAGAGCUCUUUCUUGAUUUUGUGGGUGGUGGUGCAUGGCCGUUCUUAGUUGGUGGAGUGAUUUGUCUGCUUAAUUGCGAUAACGAACGAGACCUUAACCUGCUAAAUAGCCCGUAUUGCUUUGGCAGUACGCUGGCUUCUUAGAGGGACUAUCGGCU